AGAGUUUGAUCCUGGCUCAGAGCGAACGCUGGCGGCGUGCUUAACACAUGCAAGUCGAACGGAUCCGGGGGGCAACCCUCGGGUUAGUGGCGAACGGGUGAGUAACACGUGGGUCAUCUCCCCCCGAGUGAGGAAUAAGCUUGCGAAAGCGGGUCUAAUACCGCAUGAAGCUUCGCGACACAAGUCGUCGAAGCCAAAGCCGUAAGGCGCUUGGGGAUGAGCCUGCGUCCUAUUAGCUAGUUGGUAGGGUAAUGGCCUACCAAGGCGAUGAUGGGUAGCCGGCCUGAGAGGGUGAACGGCCACACUGGGACUGAGACACGGCCCAGACUCCUACGGGAGGCAGCAGUGAGGAAUUUUGCGCAAUGGGGGAAACCCUGACGCAGCGACGCCGCGUGGAGGAAGACGGCCUUCGGGUUGUAAACUCCUGUCAGAGGUGAAGAAUGCCCGCAAGGGCUUGACGGUAACCUCAGAGGAAGCCCCGGCUAACUACGUGCCAGCAGCCGCGGUAAUACGUAGGGGGCGAGCGUUGCUCGGAAUUACUGGGCGUAAAGGGAGUGCAGGCGGCCGGUUAAGUCAAAGAUGAAAUCCCGAGGCUUAACUUCGGAAUGGUCUUUGAUACUGAUCGGCUUGAGGCUGGUUGAGGAGAGCAGAAUUCCCGGUGGAGCGGUGAAAUGCGUAGAUUCGGGAGGAACACCAGAGCGAAGCGGCUCUCUAAACUAGUCCUGACGCUAGACUCGAAAGCUAGGGGAGCAAACGGGAUUAGAUACCCUGGUAGUC
rnacentral:rRNA from 1 species